rnacentral:rRNA from 1 species
UACAUGGGGUGCAAACGUUGCUCGGAAUUAUUGGGCGUAAAGCGCACGUAGGCGGUUCGUUAAGUCGGAUGUGAAAGCCCUCGGCUCAACUGAGGAAGUGCACCCGAAACUGGCGAGCUUGAGUACGAAAGAGGAUCGCGGAAUUCCCGGUGUAGAGGUGAAAUUCGUAGAUAUUCGCAAGAACACCAGUGGCGAAGGCGGCUCACUGGCCCGGUACUGACGCUGAGGCACGAAAGCGUGGGGAGCAAACAGGG